AGGAAAACCUAGGAUGCUCCGAAAAAGCUCAGGCUGUGAUGUGGACAAGAUUUACUGUACAGUAACACUAUAAAGGUUGUCAAAACCCUCUGGAGUGACUAAUCCAUGCAGUCCUGAGUCCCCAAGCAAGGCCCUGCAAGGUACCUCAUUCUAGCUCACUGCCCACUCCAUGUGCCUGGGACCCUUUCCUCUUGCAUAUCCACAAACUCGUGGAGGAAGCUUGAGCCAGUGUAGAGCAGCUCUGCUCUGCCUGGGAGCCCACAGUCUAGAGAAAGGGAUGUGUAUGUAUACACACCCCGCAACCCACAGCUUCCGAUACAGUGUGCUGAGAGUGAGAACAGAGGCAUGUGUGAAGGCGGUGGGAGCCUGGAGGGAGCAGCUCAUGGAUCUGGGUGGAGGCAGGUCACAGAAGCUUUCCCAGAGGAGAUGACAUCAUCUCAGCAUGAGGGAAUUUGAAGCAUGAGGAAUGGAUUGAUUCUGAAACACUGUUUCUGGAUGUUGCAUUUUUUACAAACUGAAGGCAAGACCCUCCACCAGCAAAAAGAUAAUGACUCACUUAAUUACGAUACUUGCUUUAUUGUGGUGAUCUUGAACUGAACCCACAAUAUCUCCGAGGUGUGACUAUUCAGUUUUUAAUGUCAUCCCUGAAGCCCCAGUAAGACUCCCAAGGUGAUUCAGCUACUCAAAGAGCCCAAGGCCUCAGCCGGGUGAGUGUUACUAUUUAAACACUGGGCGGCUUACCAGGGAUUUCACAUAUUCGCUGGACUCUCUAAGCUGCUGAUCUGAUCACAGACACCACAUCCAAAGAAAAGUUACUGGAAAGCAGACGGCGCCCCCCGCCCCCUUCCUCUGCAUGGUGUCUGUUAAGAUACGAGACUUCUAGACACUGUGGGAGAUGAGGAGGAGCUGGCCCUUGGUGACAUUGUUUAAUUCUAGCCCUCAUCUCAAUCAGCAUAAGAAGUUCCAACAGGUUGGAGUUAGUGACUUUCUUCUCACAAAUGAAUGUGGAGGAAAUGGUGAUGUAUGAUUGGGUCUUAAAAGGCACCAUGGCUUCCCUCUGGCUUUCUCUCUCAUGGAUCCCUCAUUUCAGGAGAAGUUGACUCUCACGAAGACAUUCAACCAGUCCUCAUGGCGAGGAACUGAAGCCUUGUGCAACAGCCAUGUGACGAGCCAUCUUGAAAGCAGACUUUCUGGCCCCAGUCAAGCCUUCGGAUAACUGCAGCCUGGCCAACAUCUUGACUGCAAUAUCUUGAGAGACUCUGAUCCAUGGAAGAAGCAGUGUGGCUUCAGGAAUUAAGCCUCAACUCCAAAUGUCCUUAAUCCUCAUAGGCCCUUCCUUUCACCCACACGGUGCAGAAACAAGCUGUGCUACAUGCUCUGGAACCAGAAACUCGAUCUGCAUGCCAUUGGCCAAUUCUGUGAGGUCUGAGGACACCAUGAAAACAGCCAAAGAUACUUGGUCUGAGGAAAAGGGAUGCACACAGAGGCUUCAGGAGGCCACUCCAUGUAUUCUGAGGGGAACCCUCAUGCCUGUGUUGCUCUUUUGUAUGGGGACAAACCACAGGGCUCUGCACAAGCAGAUAGAAUUGACAGUGACUCAGAGACAGGGAACUGCUCUAUGCAGCAACUGGGAUUUGUUGGGGGCUCCAGAGCCUGACCUAAAGUGAGGGACUUUAUGGGAAAGAUGCCGAGACAAGGCUUUGCAAGCUCGUCUGGUGGCCCUAUUUGAAACAGUCUUCUCUCUGCCCUCAAAUCAGCUGUUUCCAGGCAGGGUGCGUCUCCCUCUGCAGGAUCUUCAGGGCCAGGCUUGCCAACACCAAGCAGAAUACAAAGAGCCCCGAGAGAGAUCAGAUUUCUUUUUCCCACUUAGGAAGUGAGCUCUUCUGAUUUCAAAAGAAUACAUUUCCUUGCCCAUUAAAAAAAAAAUCUCCAAAUGCUGCUUCAGGCUGACAAAUCCAGUUGAAUCAUUAUUGACAUUUAGUGUUUGUCCAGGACAUUCAGGGCAUUUUUGUCUGGGAUUGAGAGUUUUCCCAGGGUGAGGGCCUUUCAGUGCUAAAAUGGGGACAAUCCUAGGCAAGUAGGACAGUUGGUCACCUAUUGGCAUUUAAUAAGUGGGAAGCCACGUAAAUCCAGUAUUUUUUAAAUAAAAAGUUAAUGAUAUUAUUUAUCACUCACCCUCAGGAAAGCAUAUUUUAGCAAGAAAUAAAACUCUUUGUACUGGAUGUCUUCAGGAAAGCCCAGAGCUCUUUUGGGAGGAGGAAGUGGAAAGAGGGAAGGACAUAGUUCUGCUUUCUAGACUUGUCCUCUUUACCUUAAAUAUGAGUUCUUAUCAGUAGCCCUUGCAAAUGAUAACUCACCUGGAGGACUGUGCUCUUCUAGAAAGACAAGGUAAGAGGUAAGUUGUUCUGUGACUAAACACGUUGAUAAAGGAGAAAGCUGCUUAAUUUAAAAUGCAAGCAAUGAUCUCCAAAGGACACCUAAUUCUCACAGGUUUGCACUCUUCUUGAAUAUGAAUAUCAGCCUACAAAAUCCAUUUUGCAAGAAAAGUAACUUUUUUUUUUUAAGUGCCUAACUUAAUUUCUGUUAGGAGUCUCCAUUGUAUUGUGGUGGUAGGAACUUGAUCUUAGCGAGUUCUGGAGUCCUUAUCUUUUCUUCAAGCUCAUAUCUAAGUUCAAGGAGGGGGACACUUAAUAUAGUGCUAAGGUCUGGGCAGGGAUGGGACAGCAGCAUCUGCUAACACUAAGCAAAUACUUAUUGAGCGCUUGUGCUAUGCCAGACACUAAGUGUUUUAUAUGCAUUCUCUCUUUUUAUCUCAGAUUAGUACCAAUCUGCACAAUUUUUGUCCCCAGUUUACACAAAAGGCAUGGAGAAGAGACUUACCUUAGGAUUACAUACUAGUAAGAGGCAGAGCGAAGGUUGAAACCCACUGGCCUGAGUCUAGAGGCGACCCACCCAAAGCCAUGCAUUUAAUAAACAUUGAUUGAUCCAUCGCCUAUUA